UACAGAGGUCCCAAGCGUUGUUCGGAUUCACUGGGCGUAAAGGGUGCGUAGGCGGCUAUGUAAGUCUGGCGUGAAAUCUCCGAGCCUAACUCGGAAACUGCGUUGGAUACUAUGUAGCUAGAGGAAUGGAGGGGAGACUGGAAUACUUGGUGUAGCAGUGAAAUGCGUAGAUAUCAAGUGGAACACCAGUGGCGAAGGCGAGUCUCUGGACAUUACCUGACGCUGAGGCACGAAAGCCAGGGGAGCAAACGGG
rnacentral:rRNA from 1 species